CAUGAUAUGAUUGCAAAGUUUUCCGAUUGUUCUUUAACUGUAUUAGUAUGAUCUCGCCUUGUUAAUUUAGUUGAUGCCUUGCCACUUUGGCAACAAGUUACAUGAAAACCCAAUAGUUAAUGGCUUAGACAGCAGUUGCAUAAUAAGUAUUACUUCAGUCAAGACAAUCAAUUACAAUGGACUGUGAACCAAAUCAACUAUAAUUAUAUAAAACCCAUUUAAGAUCCACGGCAGUUAGAUUUAGAAUGUCUAAUUGAGAUUGCAUAUGCCUAUAAUUAAGAAAAAUGAACCUGCUAUACAUUAGUCCCAAAAUACUGUUCCCUCAGACCAUGUAUCAGAAUACUGUUCCCUCAGACCUGAAUGCCUCCCGCUGAAUUUGGGUUUUGGCUCCUUUGAGAAAGGCUACGCCAGGCAAAUAUAGCACCUUGUGUCAAGGUGGACUUGAUGAGCCAGUACAGCGACCUUAUAUAGAUCGAGAUUGGCGGUUUGGUCAUUACCAGAUGGAAGGACUCCAGGAUCACUUGAGCCGCUUCUCACGAUUCAUUAUUCGACCCUUCUCCCCCAAAAAGAAAACAAAAUCUCAAGAGAAGAAUCCCAAAUUAAUUCUUCAGCCUCUUGAAACUUAACACUUCACAACUUACCUAUUUCUCUUGUUCUGAAAUCUAUAUUUUGUGCACUAAGCACUUUUAAUUUCAAUAUUCAAGUGAGUUGUUUUAUGUCCAA